AUUUAUAUAGUUUAGAAAAAACAUUACAUUUUCACUGUAAAAACAAGGAAAACUUUAUAAAUA
rnacentral:tRNA from 1 species